GUAGGUGAACCUGCGGAAGGAUCAUUAUCGAAAAAACAAAGGCUGUUGCUGGUCCUCAGAGACAUGUGCACGCUUGUCGGUUUUUUUUAUUUUUCCAACUGUGCACGUAUUGUAGACCUGGAGUUAUUUGAGAAUAGAUUGAGGACUUGCUCAUGUAAUGUGGGCUUUUGCCUUGUUUUUCCAGGUCUAUGUUGUAACACAUCUCACACAAAUGAAUGUAGAGUACUGGGGAAAUAUGAAACAAUACAAC
rnacentral:misc_RNA from 1 species